GGUUAAGCGACUAAGCGUACACGGUGGAUGCCCUGGCAGUCAGAGGCGAUGAAGGACGUGCUAAUCUGCGAUAAGCGUCGGUAAGGUGAUAUGAACCGUUAUAACCGGCGAUUUCCGAAUGGGGAAACCCAGUGUGUUUCGACACACUAUCAUUAACUGAAUCCAUAGGUUAAUGAGGCGAACCGGGGGAACUGAAACAUCUAAGUACCCCGAGGAAAAGAAAUCAACCGAGAUUCCCCCAGUAGCGGCGAGCGAACGGGGAGCAGCCCAGAGCCUGAAUCAGUGUGUGUGUUAGUGGAAGCGUCUGGAAAGGCGCGCGAUACAGGGUGACAGCCCCGUACACAAAAAUGCACAUGCUGUGAGCUCGAUGAGUAGGGCGGGACACGUGGUAUCCUGUCUGAAUAUGGGGGGACCAUCCUCCAAGGCUAAAUACUCCUGACUGACCGAUAGUGAACCAGUACCGUGAGGGAAAGGCGAAAAGAACCCCGGCGAGGGGAGUGAAAAAGAACCUGAAACCGUGUACGUACAAGCAGUGGGAGCACGCUUAGGCGUGUGACUGCGUACCUUUUGUAUAAUGGGUCAGCGACUUAUAUUCUGUAGCAAGGUUAACCGAAUAGGGGAGCCGAAGGGAAACCGAGUCUUAACUGGGCGUUAAGUUGCAGGGUAUAGACCCGAAACCCGGUGAUCUAGCCAUGGGCAGGUUGAAGGUUGGGUAACACUAACUGGAGGACCGAACCGACUAAUGUUGAAAAAUUAGCGGAUGACUUGUGGCUGGGGGUGAAAGGCCAAUCAAACCGGGAGAUAGCUGGUUCUCCCCGAAAGCUAUUUAGGUAGCGCCUCGUGAAUUCAUCUCCGGGGGUAGAGCACUGUUUCGGCAAGGGGGUCAUCCCGACUUACCAACCCGAUGCAAACUGCGAAUACCGGAGAAUGUUAUCACGGGAGACACACGGCGGGUGCUAACGUCCGUCGUGAAGAGGGAAACAACCCAGACCGCCAGCUAAGGUCCCAAAGUCAUGGUUAAGUGGGAAACGAUGUGGGAAGGCCCAGACAGCCAGGAUGUUGGCUUAGAAGCAGCCAUCAUUUAAAGAAAGCGUAAUAGCUCACUGGUCGAGUCGGCCUGCGCGGAAGAUGUAACGGGGCUAAACCAUGCACCGAAGCUGCGGCAGCGACGCUUAUGCGUUGUUGGGUAGGGGAGCGUUCUGUAAGCCUGUGAAGGUGUGCUGUGAGGCAUGCUGGAGGUAUCAGAAGUGCGAAUGCUGACAUAAGUAACGAUAAAGCGGGUGAAAAGCCCGCUCGCCGGAAGACCAAGGGUUCCUGUCCAACGUUAAUCGGGGCAGGGUGAGUCGACCCCUAAGGCGAGGCCGAAAGGCGUAGUCGAUGGGAAACAGGUUAAUAUUCCUGUACUUGGUGUUACUGCGAAGGGGGGACGGAGAAGGCUAUGUUGGCCGGGCGACGGUUGUCCCGGUUUAAGCGUGUAGGCUGGUUUUCCAGGCAAAUCCGGAAAAUCAAGGCUGAGGCGUGAUGACGAGGCACUACGGUGCUGAAGCAACAAAUGCCCUGCUUCCAGGAAAAGCCUCUAAGCAUCAGGUAACAUCAAAUCGUACCCCAAACCGACACAGGUGGUCAGGUAGAGAAUACCAAGGCGCUUGAGAGAACUCGGGUGAAGGAACUAGGCAAAAUGGUGCCGUAACUUCGGGAGAAGGCACGCUGAUAUGUAGGUGAAGCGACUUGCUCGUGGAGCUGAAAUCAGUCGAAGAUACCAGCUGGCUGCAACUGUUUAUUAAAAACACAGCACUGUGCAAACACGAAAGUGGACGUAUACGGUGUGACGCCUGCCCGGUGCCGGAAGGUUAAUUGAUGGGGUUAGCGCAAGCGAAGCUCUUGAUCGAAGCCCCGGUAAACGGCGGCCGUAACUAUAACGGUCCUAAGGUAGCGAAAUUCCUUGUCGGGUAAGUUCCGACCUGCACGAAUGGCGUAAUGAUGGCCAGGCUGUCUCCACCCGAGACUCAGUGAAAUUGAACUCGCUGUGAAGAUGCAGUGUACCCGCGGCAAGACGGAAAGACCCCGUGAACCUUUACUAUAGCUUGACACUGAACAUUGAGCCUUGAUGUGUAGGAUAGGUGGGAGGCUUAGAAGUGUGGACGCCAGUCUGCAUGGAGCCGACCUUGAAAUACCACCCUUUAAUGUUUGAUGUUCUAACGUUGACCCGUAAUCCGGGUUGCGGACAGUGUCUGGUGGGUAGUUUGACUGGGGCGGUCUCCUCCUAAAGAGUAACGGAGGAGCACGAAGGUUGGCUAAUCCUGGUCGGACAUCAGGAGGUUAGUGCAAUGGCAUAAGCCAGCUUGACUGCGAGCGUGACGGCGCGAGCAGGUGCGAAAGCAGGUCAUAGUGAUCCGGUGGUUCUGAAUGGAAGGGCCAUCGCUCAACGGAUAAAAGGUACUCCGGGGAUAACAGGCUGAUACCGCCCAAGAGUUCAUAUCGACGGCGGUGUUUGGCACCUCGAUGUCGGCUCAUCACAUCCUGGGGCUGAAGUAGGUCCCAAGGGUNNUGCUGUUCGCCAUUUAAAGUGGUACGCGAGCUGGGUUUAGAACGUCGUGAGACAGUUCGGUCCCUAUCUGCCGUGGGCGCUGGAGAACUGAGGGGGGCUGCUCCUAGUACGAGAGGACCGGAGUGGACGCAUCACUGGUGUUCGGGUUGUCAUGCCAAUGGCACUGCCCGGUAGCUAAAUGCGGAAGAGAUAAGUGCUGAAAGCAUCUAAGCACGAAACUUGCCCCGAGAUGAGUUCUCCCUGACCCUUUAAGGGUCCUGAAGGAACGUUGAAGACGACGACGUUGAUAGGCCGGGUGUGUAAGCGCAGCGAUGCGUUGAGCUAACCGGUACUAAUGAACCGUGAGGCUUAACCUU
rnacentral:rRNA from 1 species